GGGCUCCCUUCAGUAGCACACAUACUAAAAUUAGAAAGAUACCGAGAAGAUUAGCAUGGCCCCUAAGCAAAAAUGGCAUGCAAAUCUGUGAAGCAUUCCAUAUUUUU